rnacentral:lncRNA from 13 species
AUGGCUUCUCCACCCCCUCCAACCUCAGUGCCUAUGUCCAACAUGGCCUCUAAGAUGGAGGAGGAAGAGGAAGGUAUGAAGUUUGACUUUGACAACAGUGACGAAGAGUGCAGUACGACACCAGCGAACUCUGUCUCUACCAUGGCCAAGGGCUUUGAAGCCACUGUGAUGGCGGGACUUGCAUCAAAAAGGAACACAAUGGGCCCUAGUUCUGCCCAAGACCCAACAGUAAAGCCAAGGCUCAAUGGAUUGCCGUCUGCUGGAAAGGAGGACCAGAGCAUGCACUCACUCCCUCAUUCCAAUAGCUCAGAGAUGGCUGGAAGAAGGUCUCCUGAGGGCCGCUCUGAGCUGGGACUGUCAGGAGACACAGAGGGCUCUGGGAGAAGAAAUAGCAUUUAUGAAGGUAAGGGACACUCUUGAACACAUGUUACUUCUGAGUGUAAUCAUAUUAUACAGUACAUCUGACAUUUCCUUGUUGUUUUAUAGUCUAUUGAGACAACUUUCCCUGGUAAUUUGACUUUGUGUGAUACAAUGCCAUAAGCCAGUACACAUUGUAAUGUUCGCCCCUUAUCUUUGUCAAUGCCAUCUCCAGCAGGAUCUAUGAAUGAGUGCUACUACACCCCUAUCUUAAAGGCUGACCACAUAGACACUCAGACAGGUCUGUGACCCUGUUUCAGCAGGGCUGUGGUGUCACACAUUGUGCACUUCCCUACUUUUACAAUCAUACUGAGUCACAAGUAGCACGAUCACUGUACUUGUACACAGCCAAUCUGUAAAUAGCACACCCAACUACCUCAUCCCCAUAUUAUUACUUACCCUCCUGCUCUUUUGCACCCCAGUAUCUCUACUUGCACAUCAUCUGCACAUAUAUCACUCCAGUAUUAAUGCUAAAUUGUAAUUAUUUCAUCUCCAUGGCCUAUUUAUUGCCUACCCCUCUAUUCUUCUACAUUUGCACACACUGUACAUAGAUUUUUCUAUUGUGUUAUUUACUGUAUGUUUGUUUGUGUAACUCUGUUGUUUGUGUCGCACUGCUUUGCUUUAUCUUGGCCAGGUCGCAGUUGUCAAUGAGAACUUGUUCUCAACUGGCCUACCUGGUUAAAUAAAGGUGAAACAAAAAAUAAAAAUGUGACAUCAGCACUGCAUGGGGCACCAGCCCAGAAUCACACUUAACCAAUCAGAUCCUUAUCCAUCCAAUGGAAAUGGAUGGCUUAGCAAUCAAUUGCAGACAAAUCUAGGCUGUAUUAAUCAAGUACAGAGUAAUCAUUGCUCUAAAGCAGAGACAUCUAUUUGAGUAUAAUAGUACAUGAUAGGCUACAAAUCCCUGUAUAUGCAGUCUCUCUUUCUCAUAGGCAGUCUCUCUUUCUCAUAGGCAGUCUCUCUCUCUCAUAGGCAGAGUCUCUCUGUCCGCUUUGUGUGUGCGUACGCAUGUUUAUGAGAGAUCUCAGUUGCAUGUGUGAUUUCUCCCACGCGUGCGUGUGUGUGUGUGUGUAUAUAUAUGAGAUAUCCGGGUUCCACGUAUGUGUGAUCUCAGUGGUGUGUGUCCUCACAGCAGUGUGUGCAUUAUUUGUUCAGUUCAGGCACCGUAUGGAGCCACCUCAGCCAAGGAGUGGUUCAGUGUGGUCUCAGAGCUCACUCUGCGACUGCAUAAAGGUAUAUUAAACACCAGACUAGUCUAGUUUAGCCACCCUGUACGUGACCCACAGUCUAAGCUCCUCUAGUAUAAGGCACCUGUCACUAUUAGGGUUGCAAAAUUCCGUGAACUUUCAAUAAAUACCCUGAAUCAUCCAACCAUGAUUUCUGGAAAAGCAGGGAAUUUAUUGAAAGUUCCUGGAAUUUUGCAACCCUAGUCAGUAUCACCUCAACCUCAAUCCUACCCAGCGUAGCAACAUCCUACCCAAUGAAGCCCUAGUAAAAUUCAUUUUGAAAUAUUGGAAAUUGGGAAUUUGUCUUUCUUGGUCAUGCUUUUUAUUUCUUUAGAUAUCCCUAGUUAUACAGGUAAGUGUGGGUUAAAGUUUGCAAUGUCUAUUUUCUCUGUGCAAACCUCAUUAUUGGAUAUUAAACAUAUUACACACCUUGGCAAACUGAAUACUUCCUAAUAUAAAUACAAAACAUGUGCUCUAGAGCUAGAUAUACAACUGGACUUCUUACAGGGGCCAGAGAUCUCUCACUUUACAAUUCAGCCACCUUCACCUCUGUAAUGGGAGAGUAUUUAUUGACCAGGACAUGAAUCCUUUUCUUCAUCGAUAGGGCAUACUUUUCCACGCUGAGAGGACCAUAGCUAAUUCGCCCCACACUAGUCAGGCUCGUAGGGAUGGUUGAGAUUUUCAGAGACUCCUGUCUCUAAUGCUCUUGGUGCCGGGCAGAAAUGCCUGUGAGAUACAGCUGCCUUCGGUCACCCUGCAGAUUCCUGCCAGCAUAAACACUUUCCCUCAGACGCCUCGCUUUGGUACGUGACGUCCUCAAUGAUGAUGGUGAUGUGCCAUGAUUGCAUACUCUUCAGAAAGUGGCCCACGAUACCCAUUGCAGAGGAAAAUCCAGUGGGAUUGUACACCAGAUUGACUUGCCUCUGCUCUGUCUCUUCUAGUGACCUUGCUUUGGUAAUCUUGUAGUAACCUUGAGCGUAGUCUAUUGGCCUACUACCCACCAUUUUAGUCUGGUUACUUUGCUAUUUACUAUGUUUAUGGCAAAAUAAACCUGGGACUGGUAUUAGUGCCCAAUUGAGCCUUUUA